CUUAAUAAAUCAAAGAUUAAGUAGUAACAUACAUUUACAAACUGCUCUCACUGUAUAUCCAAGCACAGAACGAUUACAAAAACGAUCUCUCAAAAUGAAGUAGUACAUGUGCAUAAAAACAGAGCUACACCGAAACAGCAAAAUUUCCCCUCUGUAUGUUGUUUACUCGGUGCUAUAUGGCAGUCCUGGAUGAAGACAAAAUCCUUGAGUCAGUUAAGUGGCCACAGCAAAGCAGACAUGCAUAACGGAAUUCCUAGACUCAACGUCUUGCAACUGCCAAGGAGGUCACUCCUCUGUGCUGUGUUAAGGAAAGGAUCAAGUCCAUGUCGAAAUAUAAGAGUGGCAGUGGGUGGGUCGUGUCAUCUGCUGUUUAAGCAAGGGCCAAUUGUAGAUUUGUAACUUUCCAGUUUUCAUUUUUUUCAAAUAUCGCUUGUUUCGAGAUACCUGUACAAUAUGUUA
rnacentral:lncRNA from 1 species